UAAAUCAGUGAUAAAGUUAAAACUAAAAGGUACUAAAGUGAAUAUUCGAUAAACCUAGAUGGGGUAUCUGAAGUUUUUUGUAUAUAAUUUAACGAAAUAUUAAUGGAGAAGCUGACGAAAAGAUAAAAUGAAACCACAUGAGGUUUAAUUUAGUAUUGAGGUCUAUCUAACGCUAUUGAGUUAAGAAAAAACAUAUAGAGAUAUGUUUCUGCGUUCUUCGAUGGGACUGCAGAAAAUAUAUUGUAUCUGACUAACCGCAAUAUACUGAACGCAAUAUUACGUUUGGAAACAAACACGGUAUUUUUUCAUUGUUGUUUCUCACCACACGUAACGCAAUCUCCCGCAAUCCCAAACGAAGAUAUAUUUUAAACCACACAAUAUCAAAAUCAGAAAGUAAAAAACCACAUGAAUGGUUUUUAAAGUUUACCCUAAAUUUAAU
rnacentral:lncRNA from 1 species